rnacentral:rRNA from 1 species
UUGAACGCUGGCGGCAUGCUUUACACAUGCAAGUCGAACGGCAGCGGGGGCUUCGGCCUGCCGGCGAGUGGCGAACGGGUGAGUAAUGCAUCGGAACGUGCCCAGUCAUGGGGGAUAACUACGCGAAAGCGUAGCUAAUACCGCAUACGCCCUGAGGGGGAAAGCGGGGGAUCGCAAGACCUCGCGUGAUUGGAGCGGCCGAUGUCGGAUUAGCUAGUUGGUGGGGUAAAGGCCUACCAAGGCGACGAUCCGUAGCGGGUCUGAGAGGAUGAUCAGCCACACUGGGACUGAGACACGGCCCAGACUCCUACGGGAGGCAGCAGUGGGGAAUUUUGGACAAUGGGGGCAACCCUGAUCCAGCCAUUCCGCGUGAGUGAAGAAGGCCUUCGGGUUGUAAAACUCUUUCGGCAGGAACGAAACGGUGAGCUCUAACAUAGCUUGCUAAUGACGGUACCUGAAGAAGAAGCACCGGCUAACUACGU